GUGGGGAAUAUUGGACAAUGGGCGCAAGCCUGAUCCAGCCAUGCCGCGUGAGUGAUGAAGGCCUUAGGGUUGUAAAGCUCUUUUGUCCGGGAAGAUAAUGACUGUACCGGAAGAAUAAGCCCCGGCUAACUUCGUGCCAGCAGCCGCGGUAAUACGAAGGGGGCUAGCGUUGUUCGGAAUCACUUGGCGUAAAGCGCACGUAGGCGGACCAUUAAGUCAGGGGUGAAAGCCUGGAGCUGAACUCCAGAACUGCCUUUGAUACUGAUGGUCUCGAGUAUGGAAGAGGUUGGUGGAACUGCGAGUGUAGAGGUGAAAUUCGUAGAUAUUCGCAAGAACACCGGUGGCGAAGGCGGCCAACUGGUCCAUUACUGACGCUGAGGUGCGAAAGCGUGGGGAGCAAACAGGAUUAGAAACCCGUGUAGUCC
rnacentral:rRNA from 1 species